UACGUAGGGUGCAAGCGUUACUCGGAAUUAUUGGGCGUAAAGCGCGUGUAGGCGGUUCUGUAAGUCUGAUGUGAAAUCCCGGAACUCAAUUUCGGAAGUGCAUUGGAUACUGCAGGACUAGAGUAUCGGAGGGGUCGACGGAAUUCCUGGUGUAGAGGUGAAAUUCGUAGAUAUCAGGAGGAACAACAGUGGCGAAGGCGGUUGACUGGACGAUUACUGACGCUGAGACGCGACAGUGUGGGGAGCAAACAGG
rnacentral:rRNA from 1 species